CGAACGGGUGAGUAAUGCGUGACCAACCUGCCCCAUGCUCCAGAAUAGCUCUUGGAAACGGGUGGUAAUGCUGGAUGCUCCAACUUGACGCAUGUCUUGUUGGGAAAGUGUUUAGUGGCAUGGGAUGGGGUCGCGUCCUAUCAGCUUGUAGGCGGGGUAAUGGCCCACCUAGGCUUCGACGGGUAGCCGGCCUGAGAGGGCGGACGGCCACAUUGGGACUGAGAUACGGCCCAGACUCCUACGGGAGGCAGCAGG
rnacentral:rRNA from 1 species